rnacentral:tRNA from 1 species
GCGCCUGUAGCUCAGUCGGAUAGAGCAACGGCCUUCUAAGCCGUGGGUCGCGGGUUCGAAUCCUGCCGGGCGCGCCA